AUUGAACGCUGGCGGCAGGCCUAACACAUGCAAGUCGAACGAAGGCUUCGGCCUUAGUGGCGCACGGGUGAGUAACGCGUGGGAACCUGCCCUUUGGUACGGAAUAACAUCGGGAAACUGAUGCUAAUACCGUAUAUGGCUUUGGCUGAAAGAUUUAUCGCCGAAGGAGGGGCCCGCGUCUGAUUAGCUAGUUGGUGAGGUAAUGGCUCACCCAGGCGACGAUCAGUAGCGGGUCUGAGAGGAUGAUCCGCCACGCUGGGACCGAUACACGGCCCAGACUCCUCCGGGAGGCAGAAGUGGGGAUUAGUUGCCGUUGGGGGCAACCCUGCUCCAGCAAUGCCGCGUGUGGGAUUAUGGCCUUCGGGUUGUAAAGCUCUUUUGGCAGGGACGAUUAUUACGGUACCUGCAGAAUAAGCCCCGGCUAACAUCGUGCCAUCAGCUGCUGUAACAC
rnacentral:rRNA from 1 species